rnacentral:rRNA from 1 species
GGCAUGCGCAGCUACCAUGCAGUCGUACGAGAAGGUUCUUUCGGGAACUGGAGAGUGGCGCACGGGUGAGUAACGCGUGGGGACCUACCUCUUAGUGGGGGAUAACGGUUGGAAACGACCGCUAAUACCGCAUACGCCCUUCGGGGGAAAGAUUUAUCGCUAAGAGAUGGACCCGCGUUGGAUUAGAUAGUUGGUGAGGUAACGGCUCACCAAGUCAGCGAUCCAUAGCUGGUUUGAGAGGAUGAUCAGCCACACUGGGACUGAGACACGGCCCAGACUCCUACGGGAGGCAGCAGUGGGGAAUAUUGGACAAUGGGCGCAAGCCUGAUCCAGCCAUGCCGCGUGAGUGAAGAAGGCCUUCGGGUUGUAAAGCUCUUUCAGAUGCGAAGAUGAUGACGGUAACAUCAGAAGAAGCCCCGGCUAAUUUCGUGCCAGCAGCCGCGGUAAUACGAAAGGGGCAAGCGUUGUUCGGAUUUACUGGGCGUAAAGGGCACGCAGGCGGUCCUGCCAGUCAGGGGUGAAAG